GAACGAACAGGGAUGAGCUCGGCUUGGAAACCUGGGCUUCGGCUCUGGAUUGUAGCCUCUAGACAUAGUACCAACGGAGGCGCAGGUGUAAGCCUCUUGGAAAAGAGCAUCAACGUGGGUGAGAAUCCUGUGUUUCAUCUGCAGUCCAUCGUGCACGGUACAUGUUCUCAGAGUCGCGUACCUCGGAAUUGGUGCGUAAAGUGGGUGGUAAAUUUCAUCUAAAGCUAAAUAUAGGCUUGAGACCGAUAGCAAACAAGUACCAUGAGGGAAAGAUGAAAAGGACUUUGAAAAGAGAGUUAAAAGUGUUUGAAAUUGCUGAAAGGGAAGCGAAUGGAACCAGUCCUCUGGCUAAGAUUGUUGCAUGCUCCCUUGAUGCCCGGCUACCUCAGCGCAAGCGUUGUAGUUGGAGUUGAUGGGCUGUGUGUGGUGUUUCUUAGCUUGGAGUCAACUUCUGUGCCUACUUGAGCAUAACCUCUUUGUCAUGUCAUUCCU
rnacentral:rRNA from 1 species